GCAAAGUUGGUUUAGUGGUAUAAUUGCCGCCUGCCACUGAGAUACACCGACAAUUGUUGGUAUGUCUCUAGUUCGCGGCAGACCCGGUUCGAUUCCCGGACUUUGCA